rnacentral:rRNA from 1 species
UACGGGGGGGGCAAGCGUUGUUCGGAAUUACUGGGCGUAAAGGGUUCGUAGGUGGCUCGCUAAGUCAGACGUGAAAUCCCUCAGCUUAACUGGGGAACUGCGUCUGAGACUGGCAAGCUCGAGUGCAGGAGAGGAACGCGGAAUUCCAGGUGUAGCGGUGAAAUGCGUAGAUAUCUGGAGGAACACCGGUGGCGAAGGCGGCGUUCUGGACUGCAACUGACACUGAUGAAUGAAAGCCAGGGGAGCAAACGGG